rnacentral:lncRNA from 1 species
GGCAUUCCCCAGAAGAAAGUUUAGCUAAUGUAUCUACAGUGCAUGUGUCAUCCCUGGAAUGCUCUCUGCUGCAUCUCGGAUCCUGGAGAACCCGGUCUUCCACAUGCUUCUGUCUGGGAGGGCCAGAGCUCUUUGAGGACUGCUCGAAGCGCUUUGCUGAGUACUGACAUAAAUCUCUCAAAAAAAUCCGUGUGCUUGGUACAGUCGAGAAACAUGAGGACACGCAUGCUUCCAUCACCUGGGACCAUUGCCAACUUCGAGAUGUGUAAAAAAAAGGCAGCUGUCUACAACCUGGGAUGAACACUUUCCCCCAGAUAAUUCCUGGCCAGGUUGCUGACUUUGGACUUUUAACCUCAAGAAUGGGAACAGUUAGAUCAGAGGUCAUGCUGAGGUCAGAGAGAAUCUGAAGCUAUGGCCCCAUGCCUUCUGGAAUUUCUCACCUCAGAGUUCUGGCCACUCUUGUAUAACUCAGGCAAUGCCAGGAGUGUUUCUGCAGAGACAUCUUUAUCGAGGACUCCAAAGAUGAUGGGUGGCAAGGACGUGAAGAAGAGAUUGAAGAAUAUCAUCUGCCAAUAAUCGAUCAUGGUGGAGCCAGAGAAACCACAGAAGAACUGGUACCAAAACAGCAGGUUGACGUAGCACUGUAGGCAGGGAGCAUGGCUUUGUGAGUGAGGGUCCUGCAUGAUCUGUGAUGGACUAUGACAGUUAAGAGCAGAGGUUUGAGAAGUAGAGAGGCUGGAGAACAUCCCAUACCUACAGCUCCAAUGAGGCACAUGAGGAAGAGGAGGCCGAUGCAGAAGAAGAUAUCUGUGUUGAUGCGCCGCUCGAUUUUGCUGCGUUUGUAUCGGGGGCCACUAUUGUUCAGCAUGGCUUUUGUUUCAUGGCCUUUGAGAAAAA